UAUUUAUUUUAUAUUUUGUAAACACACAAACAUGGAGAGUAUUUUUUUCCCGACAAAAUUACAAUUAAAUACGGUUUACGAGUGUACGUUUCGCCGACACCAUCAGAUAUUUUGAUUCUGAUGAGUUGAGACGAUUUCGACACAUUCGUCUUCUAAAAGGUUCUCAACCGGCCUGUCCAAAAUUUGGAAGUAUCCAUCAUGUUACAAAACUUCAGCCCGGUUGUACAGACACUAUUCGGCACUUUGUUCACAUGGGGCUUAACGGCUGUCGGUUCCAGUUUAAUCCUGGUAUUCAGCGGUACACAAAGGAAGUUAUUGGAUGGAAGCUUGGGAUUCUCAAGUGGUGUGAUGAUAGCUGCAUCAUAUUGGUCGCUGUUGGCACCAGCAAUUGAACUCGCUGGACAAGAUAGUACCUAUGGAAAUGAUGGACAGUUUUCAUUUAUACCAGCACUUGUUGGUUUUGUAUUUGGUGCAUUUUUUGUAUAUUUAUCAGACUUAUUCAUAUCAUUGUAUGAAAUGGACGUACUUAAUAUUUUGAUACCAGAAGCAAAUCAGUGUUCAAAAAAGAAAUUUAAAUGUGAUUCUGAUACACAGAAUACUUAUUAUACAAAUAAUCAACAAUCAAUUGGAAUAACAGAUGAGACUUCAGAUGCUCGACAACGAUGUUAUAAAGCUACACAUCCUCCUCCAGAAUAUACUGAAAUAGAAUGUGAUAGUGAUGUGAAAGCAUGUAGUUGGAAACGUAUAUUAUUACUCAUAAUUGCUAUCACUGUACAUAAUAUCCCUGAGGGUUUGGCUGUUGGUAUAGCAUUUGGAGCUGUUGAUUCAUCACCUUCUUCCACGUUUAAUAGUGCUAGAAAUUUAGCCAUGGGAAUUGGCAUACAAAAUUUUCCUGAAGGAUUGGCUGUCAGUUUACCCCUGCAAGCAGCCGGAUGUUCAAAAUGGAAAAGCUUUUGGUACGGACAACUUAGCGGUAUGGUGGAGCCGAUCGCCGGACUCGUGGGCAUAUUCGCCGUUUCGUUGAUCAAACCGCUGUUACCUUACGCCCUGGCGUUUGCCGCAGGCGCGAUGAUUUACGUUGUCGUCAACGACAUCAUACCGGAGUCAAAUUCCAGUGGCAACGGGAAGCUGGCCAGUUGGUGUUGUAUCGUGGGAUUCGCUGUGAUGAUGUCAUUGGACGUGGGACUCGGUUGACUUCAUUAGAAAUCAAUACAAAUUAUGUUUGAAAAAUCUCAGAUCAAAGUCCUAUAAUCAGUAUAAUCAAUAUACGCUGAGUGCCCCAAGCAGGCAAAACGUCCCAUGGGCUAUAUCCAGCUAUACACAGAGGACAUUUAUUUGGAAUAGCAAUGAAACUCAAAAAUAUUAGUGCUACAAUUCUCUUAUCGUGGACUAUAAUCAGGAUCCAUAAUUGGAAAGAAAAUCCGAAAAGAAUUUAAGAAAUAUUUCAAAAAUAAUCAUAUACAAAUCUGUAAAAAACCAUUUUGUUUUCAAAAAUGAAAGAAAUAAUACGGGACAAACACGUGCGCUGCAGGAUUUCGUAAAGGUGUAAGAAGGGGUUCAGGCAAAAAAGGUAUAUGCAGGACAAUGCAUGAAUAUAAAUAAUAUAUACGCAUGUCUGUUGUAAUAUAUGGUACUCCAAUAUAAGAUGAACAAUUCAAAAACGUAAUUUGCAGUCGAAAAGUGGGCGUGACCGAGUGAUACGAGCGUACGCGUUAAACGUGCGGACACCAGCUUAUAUAUAAGUAUAGAUAUAUAAUGCAUAAAAUGAUGUUAAAAUGCAAUCAAUGGUAAAUGUAUAUUAAUUAUUAUAUAUAUAAAAAAAAAAAUUAUACGAUUGACAACUUCAUUGCAAAUUAUAUAUUAUGUAAGUGUCUCA